rnacentral:lncRNA from 1 species
CCCGUUUAGGAAUUUGGUUGAAUGGCAUGGGAGUCACUUGUAAAUAAUUAUUACUUUUAUGAUACAAAUGUUUUUGAAGGACAGCUAAAGUCCUUAUUAAAAAUGUAUUAUGCCCCUGUGAAAUUUCUCCACCCCUAAGAUUAAUAUAUUUGAGGAAGAUGGAGUAUUUUUCUACCUUGUAAUCCCACAUGAAGGAUAAUUUUGGGCAGUGCCACAGGUUAAGUGUGUAUCAUGAAGUUCACUUUCCUCUCCACUGCCAUUUCUCUCCGUUAAUUCAAUGAAAAGUCCACCAAAAUACAGUAGGACUCAGAAUACGGAAGCUGUGGCUACGCAAGAAAAGUUCAUUCAAAAUUGAUUUUCUUUCAGGAAUCCCUGAUAUUCUUCAUUCCAAUUGUUCCCCUCUACUGUAGGCCUCGGUAAACACUUAAGCAAGUUGCCACGCGCUGCAGCCUGCUGGAGACAUGAAGGAAUGUAGAGCGGGAUAAUCACAACAUCAUCAACCCAAUUCUCCAAGGUAGCUGGCCAAUAAUGCUGUUCUAAUUGAAUAACUUAUCCACAGCUAUUUCCCCUGGGAGAGUCAAAGGCUCAGCCUCCGCUAAGAGGCAGAUGGUGCCGCAUAUACAAUGAAACCUGUAAUUUUCUCUUGCCAUUGGACAUGCUAACAGUGGGCUGUUUCUGCUUAUUCUUUAAUAUUUUAUUUUAAUAGUCCCUUCCCAAAUUAUAAUGUACCAUGAAGCAGCCAAAGAUGGAUUGAGUGAUACAUAUCAUGUUUAAUUUAUCACACCUCUAGCUCACCGAACAACUCACUUGGUAAUCAGCAGGAGUAUAUGUCAGUCAGGUGCAAACUGAUAUGAAAGCAACAGAAAAGAACCCAAUUAAAACCAAAAGGGGAGAUGAGUCUUCAGGGUGGCAUGGCAUUAACUAGCAGCAAAGUAUGGAACAUCAAAUGCAUUCUAAUUCCGAUUUUUUUAGCGGUAAUUUGCAGUGGAAUAUGCAUACCCUGUGUAUUUGGUAAGACAAUGGAAAGAUUGUGUUUUGCUCAACCGAUUCGACCACUGGGCUCUAAAGGAGGGUGAAGGGCUAUGCAGCUGCUUGGUUUUGAUCUUCUACUGGCAGCCAAAAUUGUAAGAGGAAAGUGCAGGCUUAAGGGGUAAGCAGUGACAGCCCAUCAGUGGUCUAACAACAAGACAAAUGACAGGCCCACAGGCACACCGAGGACGGCCAGCCCAUCAGCUUUGAAGACUGCCAAAUGGCAGCUACAG